rnacentral:rRNA from 1 species
ACGUAGGUGGCAAGCGUUGUCCGGAUUUACUGGGUGUAAAGGGCGUGUAGGCGGAGAUGCAAGUCAGAUGUGAAAUCCCCGGGCUUAACCCGGGAACUGCAUUUGAAACUGUAUCCCUUGAGUAUCGGAGAGGCAGGCGGAAUUCCUAGUGUAGCGGUGAAAUGCGUAGAUAUUAGGAGGAACACCAGUGGCGAAGGCGGCCUGCUGGACGACAACUGACGCUGAGGCGCGAAAGCGUGGGGAGCAAACAG